GGGGCAGGCGGUGACCAGAAGGCGGACCGGGGAGGCGGUUGGCCCGGGCGGGGCCUGCACUGCUGGGCCACCCCCGCAGCUCCAGCCCCCGACGGGAGGAGCCUCAGGCAGGCGGCCGAGUUGUGGGGGGACAAGACAGAAUUCAGAACCUGGCCAGUGAAGGAUGUCCUCAACAUAUGCUUCUUGAUGGUCCCCAAAAGCAAGUGGACACGAUCCAUCUUGUCUAUUUCACCUGUGAAAACCUGAACAAAUUUUCUUUAGACUAAACACAAAAUACAAAACCCAAAAUGAAUAAACUUAUUUCAAGACCU